rnacentral:tRNA from 1 species
AAAGACUUAGUUAAAACAUAACAUUAGGUUGUCAAUCUAAAAUUAUUUAAAUAAAUAGUCUUUG